rnacentral:lncRNA from 1 species
CCGUCGUUAGGAGCACGUCAUAACCUACAAAAAUCAAUCGCAGUAAGUUCAUUAAUCUACAACGGACCUCAUGCCAUAUCGGAUAAAUCGAAACCAAACUACCAACCGUCUCCUGUCAUAUCGAAUCAGCCAAUGGAGAGAGAGAGAGAGAGAGAGAGAGAGAGAGAGAGAGAGGGAGAGAGAGAGAGAGAGGGAGAGAGAGAGAGAGAGAGAGAGAGAGAGAGGGGGAGAGAGAGAGAGAGGGAGAGAGAGAGAGAGAGAGGGGGAGAGAGAGAGAGGGAGAGAGAGAGAGAGAGAGAGAGAGAGAGAGAG